GGAAGCAAUCGUGAUUUAAUUUUCUUAGGCCCAAAUGAUAUUUCAAAAUGGUUUUCAGUGAUCCUUCUGCAAUUCCAACGAUGCAAGUAAGAUUUCGAACUGUUAGUUGUCGAUCCUCAAGCACUAAUUCCUUUAUUUCAUUGUCUUGUUGAGCAUCAGUUGAUGUAGAUGGCUGUCCUGGUCGUAUUUUGAUGUGAUAUUGGCACAGAUGUCACUGAAAGGCAACCAACCUAGAAAAAAAUGUUCCACGAAUGGGUUUACACGCGAAUUCAAAUUGAAAAGUAUUGCUAUCUGUUGCACGUAGUAGUAUGAAUGGCAUGGCUCUGCCAUGUCGAUGUCAUAAUAUUUAUGGAAAGGAUUGGUAGAGAUUUUAAAAUAUGUAAAUGUCUCGCCAGUAAAGUAGAAGAGGAUGGGACCCAGAUCAACUAAGCAAGAAAGAUCAUUUCAAGAAAGCAUUCGAAUUUUACUGACCGGAUUGGAAGCGAAGUAUAAGACUCCGGCAUAGUAAUUAUUAUCUUCUUACUAAACAAAAUUCCAAAAUAAACGAAAAUCUUUUUUUGUGAUUUACAACUGGCUUCAACCAAACAACACCUUCCCAUUAACAAUUACAUGAAUGGCAGUCGGAAUUGCACCCGAAUAGAAUUCAGUCCAUUAUUUGCCUUUAUUCACUACCAACAACUGGAUUAUCCACACACGUUUCUGAAUCAGUGCGAAGCGCUUAACUAAACUUUAGUGGAUAUUUUUGCUUUCUACAAAAAUAAACUGGAAAUUGUUGCUUUUGCUGGUCGUUGGAAAUCAUUGGCUGCGGUGAAAACUUUUAACUUACAAUGGCAAUAUCAGCACAAUGUUGCAAUGCGCACAAACACACACACACACACACACACACACAUGCAUUCUCGAUCACGUGUAUUGUUAUGGAAAUUUUGUACGUGUGUUUGUUGCUCUGCCUAGCCGUCAUACUUAGUUGCCGUUGCUGUGGUUUGCUCUGCUCCUCUGUCUCGACACUACAUCACUGUCAGUGGCAAGCAGCGUUGCAGCAAAGCAGUACCAACAACAAUUGCAAUAACAACAGCUGCAUUUAAAGCGUUUACUCGCAUUGCGAUUGAAGCCUUUUGUAGUUGCAACACCAAAGCUGUGCAGCGGUUGUUGUUAUUAUUAGUUUUCGCAAAUGUUUACGUUUAUCUGCAAUUGUUGCACUUAGUUUAAUUUUAUUUUUAUUUCAUUAUUAUGUGUUUUACAUAUGUACAAAGCUUUACUUUCACAUUUUAGAGGCGCUGAGAGAGUAAGGAAGCCUCAGUGGGCGCGUUAUGGGUGGUAUUGUUAGAUUUCGGUGCUUCUUAUAUAAAAUGAGAUUUUUGUGGAGCAUUUGUUGCAAUUAAUUCUUAUGAAACUGGUAUAAAAAUGGCUGUUGUCGUUGUAACGGCAUAAAACAUUUCUGAAGUAAUUUUGAGGAAUGGUGCCGAGCCUUUGGUCGGAUAAAAAUUCGGUUACGUUCCGGUUACUUAGACCCAACUGUCGUGUAAAAGGAUAUCAUAAAUAGUCUAAGCACACGGUUCCAAAAGUUACCUCUAGAAAAUAUUGGCCGCACAAUGAGCAGCGUGGAAAAAACUUAACGAAACGGUGGCGUUUUCAAAAAGUUUUUUCGAUUCAAAAGUUUUUUUGGCCAGCAAAAAUUCAAUUUUUGGUCCGAUGUAAAAUGUGGUAGGUCAUUGUAUGGAGGUCUACGAGCAUACACAGAACUUUCAGAGAAAAUAUAUUAAGUGGUUAUAGAAAUUCAGCAAGAAAAUCGUCAUACAAAUUACGAAAGAUGGACCAGGGAUAGUAAAACAAAUAUAAUGUCUCUGCCAUCCCAUUGGCAAACUCACUUACGUGUGCUAGCAGUUGCGGAUGCCUCAGUCAAUCCCUCGACACCAGAAUCGUAUAAGAAAGUCAGACAACCUGUCAAUCUUAAAUAAUUUUAUCAACAAAACCACAAUAAAGGGGACUCGGAUAGCUUAAAAAAAUAAAGCAGCUAGACUGAACAACAUGGAUAUGACAACAUAAUACCAGAACUUUUAAAGGCUGAAACCUCAUAAUUGGGUACACUUAAUUGGCUACUUCUAAGCCUACAGAGAUCUACCACAAUUUCUAAAAGAAGGUACGAUCUUCAAUCUUCCCAAGAAAGACGAUUAGCCAAAGUGUACGAUCUGGCAAGGUAGUAUGCUGUUGCGCAUCGAGCACUUGAAUACCGAAAUUGAGCAAAAUAAAAAGCAGAUUUUUUGUAGUUUGCGCCGGCAGUGACAAUUACUUGAUUGACGCCUUUCUCUAUCUAUUCUUAAUCAACUUUCACUCAAAAACUCAGUAAACGAAUAAAAGUAGAGGUGAACAUCCGUUAAAGCUGAUUUCUGGCACCGCUUUCGUUUAAAACCAUAUUAGAUAACGUAAUGGAAGGAAUUGUAGUAUAAGUAGACGGAUCGAAGAUCUAGAUUUUGCAGACGAUAUACAUAUUUUUAAUGGCACACACCAACCAUAUAAGGAAGGCCAAUCAAGCUUUGUGCGACCUCCUUGCCAGUUGGAGGUCCUCGAUCAUUACUUAUGAUCGCUAUAUUUUGAAAUUUUUGUAUAAAAAUGGGAAUGCCACGCAAGACACCAAUGAAAUUUGUGAAGUUUACGGAGAUGAUACUGUAUUACUUAGUUUGUGUGUCGGUCGCUUCGAUUCUGGAAAUUUCGAUGUAAAAGAUGCACCUCGCUCUGGUCGAUCCAUCAUUAAAAGAGCUCAUAGAAUUAUGGAAAAGAUAGACCAGGACCGUCACAUAAGCAGCCCUGACAUCGUAAACGAAUUUAACAUCCACCAUCAAACGGUUUAGAAUUGGAGAGGAAUCAUCCACUUUGAGCUGCUCCAGCUCCAGCGUGGUCGAACGAUUGACUCUACAUUUUACUGUCAACUCAUAAGAUUGAAGCAAGCAAUCGAAAAAAACGGCCAGCACUGAUCAACAGAAAAGCUGGAAGUGCUUGGCCUGGGAAGUUUUGAUGCAUCCACCACAUAGCUCUGACUUUGUACCAACGGACUACCAUUUGUUUCGGUCACUGCAGAAAUCCCUUAUUGGAGUAAAGUUGGCUUCAAGAGAAGCCUGUGAAAAUAGUUGUCGUUGAUGGAAUAAUGUCUCCAGCGGAAAAAUGGCAAAAAGUGGUCUACCAAAAUGAGUCAUAUUUGAUUCAUCAAGUAACGUUCUAAAAAAUUACAUUUCCAGUACUAACUGUAUAUUUACAAGUAGAAGAUUUUACUUGGUUCCUUGGCUAAUCACCACAUUUGCAAUUCACAGCGCUCUCAUGAAACCAUUUAUGCGAUUUCGCCAAUUGCUGAAACCAUUAACAAGUUGACAGCUAAGAAUUGCAGAACUUACAGCGAAGCAGGCAAGGAAAAACAGAGAAUGGUCAAAGCUAAAAAAGCCAACAAAGNGGAAUACAAAUCGCAAGCUAAACAUAUUAAGCACACACAUAUGUGCGCACAACUGUAUUUUAUUGCAUGCAACAAUUGCAGCAGAGUGCCACAGAGCUUAGUGCGGUUGCAGUGCGUCGCAGCGAUGGUGAUGAAGGUGAAAAAAAGAGCGCUUGCUCACGACAAAAUGCACCCCACAGUGUGCCGGCCACUGAGGCAAUCAGUAAAUCCUGUGACUCACUGGCGAGUGUCGUGCGGCACGUAAUGUGUGCCCUGCUGCCCACAAGCUGAGCUGUUUUUAGUUUUAGUCUUUUUUACUAUGUUUUUUAACUUUCCUUGUGUCUCAUAUGGAUGUAGAAUGCUAAGCGCGUACUCGCCGAAUGCCCCACUUAGCGCUGGCUGACCGAUUUCCCUGGCAUACAGCUAGGCGCACGUCUCACGUAUGUGUGUGUGUGUGUGUGUACACACAUGCAUAUUGCAUAAGACAAAAAGGAAAAUAAGAACUGAGCGUGUGGGUUGCUUGGCGCUUUGAGCCACUGCACUCUACGCCUCUCUCUCUCAUCAAUGACCGUUUUCGAUUCGCCUUGCUGAGUGUGUAUGUGUGUGUGAGGCACGUUGCAUGUUAAAAUACCCAUACAUGCAGCACUUUUUGCUGCUGCUUCUAUCAAUUUUUUUGCACACGCCGCUGCCACAUGUGACUUGCAUCUCAAUGUGGACGCUACCUCAGUGGAAAACUUAUUUAUGCACACACAAGCAAACAAUUGCAAGCAACAUGGUGUAUAUAUAGGGGACUAGUAAGCAAUAUUCUUUCACAUUUAUUCAUUAUCCAGCAAAGCAAAGGGAACGCGUGGUCCAACUAGUUUUACUUUUAUAUGUUUUAAAGUUUUUUUUGGUUUUUUUUUUUGCAUUGAGGCAAGAAAGGGUCAGGUCAGUAAAGGCACUUUGUGCUCCGUUUGGCUCGCUUGCGCUUCGUUGGCUGAUCAACUGAGCUUGCACAAAAACUGUUAAAGAAAAUGUAUUUGCGCCACUUACACAUCAAAAUAAAAACAAAAACAACAACAAAAAUAAAAACAACAGCGAAGUGCUUUAGCUGAAGCCAGUCAAGUUUAGUUGACGAACUGUUUGCAUUUUGCAUCUGUGCAAAUACAAAUAUAUUCAUUUUAUUUGCUUGCAUCCUUCUUCUUCUCUCUAACAACACUAACGAGUUAUUAUCGUUGUUUGCGCUUGUAGUUUGUCAUUAUUUACCAUUGUUGUUGGCCGGCAACCAUCUGCUGCGCACAGCCCUCAUGAAUAUCAAGCGAGCAAGCGUGUGCUGGUAUGUGUUUGGCGAGCGUGCGCUCAGCAUUUGCGUCCACAUUCUGCCUCACCAAGUGUGCUCCAUUAACUUGCCUCCACAAACACGCACCCAUACGUACACAUAAUCAUAAGCUAGUCCUUAUGGUUGGCAUUGUCCUGCGGAUCUGCGCUCAUCCCGCUUCGCUUACAUUCUUUAUGCUUGGCACGUUUCGCCAGCAUUCCAUUGUAGUUACGCAUAUUUUCUGCGUGGAAAAGCACAACAUUUAUUUAUGUAUUGAUUUGCGGCAACAACAAUUGUAAUUUUUUUUUUUUUUUGUCAAAAGCGCAAUGUGUAAGUAGUUCGUUGGAGUUUAUUUUCGACAUUAUUUACUGUUGUCUCAUUAUUUGCGAAAUGAUAAAUUUUAUUAUGUUUCUGCAAAUGGAUUUUCGUAGGAAAGUUGGUGGGUGCCUUUUAACCGAGUGUGUUAAAGAAGGAUCAAAUGGCUUUCUGGAGGAAUAAUGGUAGACGAAUACAAAUUAUCUCCACACUUUUUUUUAUAGAAACACAAAGAAUUUUUCGGUUUUGUUAACAAACAGACUUUCAUAUAUUAAGGCAGAUACUGCAAGAUUACACCACAACCAUCUUUUUAAGGGGCAUACCUAGUUUGAAAUAAAAUAAAUCUCUUUAAAUCUGGAUAGUUUGUACAUUUGAAAAUCACAUAGUAAAAUUUUAAACCGAUAUUAUGUUUUCAGUUACGGCCUUCUAAAAUGUAGCCGCCCAGUUCAAUGGCCGAGACAAAUACUUCGAAUCGGUUCUGAUCUGAACAUAAAUCGUAGUUUGGCAGGCCAAACCGGUUAGGUAAAAUUUAAUUAUUUUUCACAACGCCGCCAAUAUAUAAAUUUGUAAUUUUUUCAGCCGUAAGUCAUUAUUACGUACAAUAUAUAUAGCAUUAGCAUUAUUUAUUCCGAAAAAAUCGAAACUUUUUAGGCUCUCCCACUAGGUUUGCUACUUGUGUAAGUGUCCUCCUGAACACGCUUUCGCAAGGAAAAAACGAGAUACAUUAAAAAUAUUGCAUCAAUAGGAGGAGCAGUUAAUAUCUGAAUGAUAUGUGUAAAAGUGAAAUUCCUUAUUACGAACCGUCCUCAUAGCCGGACAUCCCCCAUAACUGGACAAAGUUCAUGAACACAUAGCGUUUAUAAUAUUAUUUUCAUAAAAAGCAAUUCCUAUAAUCGGACUUGAGUAUGUUUCAAGAUCGGACGAGGCCACUAUUUUGGUAAUAUUUUGUUCAAGUCACCUAGUAAACCUCAUAAAAUAUGUCAAGAAAAUUUUGUAAAAUUUAUUGUUCCCGCUUUUUUAAAUUCUCAUUACUUUUUUUGUUUUGAGACAGUGAUUUAUUUUAACAAUAGGUAAAAUGCUUACAACGAACAAAUUGUCUUGCGCUGGUGUUGGCUGAUUCGCGGUGGCUCAACGAACUAAUGCGAUAAUUGUCAUUCAUUCACUCCUGGCUGAGAUUGGCUUGCAUUUAUUAGUUUAAUAGAAAUAUUGUUCCGAAUAUGAGACGAUGAAGAAAAAUAUCAAUAUCACACUUCUGAAUUGGCGAAGUGGAUAAUGAUCACUAUACUUAAUUAGCAGAUUCCAACCAUUGUUAAAUGAAAAACUUAAACAUACUGCUAUAGCAAUCGGCUCUAUGUUUACGAAGAGAAUCCAAAUUUUUUCAGUUACACAAGAUCUUCAACUCUGAGUUUCUCAAAAUUAUUUGGGAAAUCUGUUAUACUGCUAACAAAAAUUUCUUUUUUUUUUGCACUAUUUAAUGACAAAUUAAUCAACUCUCCCAUAAAGGAAGUCAGUUCUUAAGAAUGCGAUAAUAAGCUGCUAUCCUACUUUGAAUUGUACAAGUUCUGAACUAAUUGACGACCUUUCAAGAUAUUAUAUGUUUUCAGCAUAAAUCAAACUAACUAUCCUUUGAUGCAAU
rnacentral:lncRNA from 1 species